GAUAAGGGAAAAGCAACCAGUGUCAUGUACCUGGAGUUGCUCAAAGCCUUUGACACUGUCCCACACAACAUCAUCUCUAAACUGGAGAGAUGUGGACUUGAUGGAUGGACUACCUGGUGGAUAAGGAAUUGGCUGGAUGGCUGCACUCAAAGAGUUAUGGUCAACAGCUCGAUGUCCAGGUGGAGACUCGUGGUGAGUGGCAUUUCUCAGGAGUCAGUUCUUAUCUCCUUCUCACCACCACUGCUACAGGGGUGAAAACAUCCAGAGAGGGAGAGCAGAUGUUUGAGGAUGGGAGCUCUCUAAAUGACCACAUGAGUCAAAACCCUGAGAAAACCUGACUUUCUGAGCCCAGAAGAAGGAAAGGAGGCAGUGGGAUCAUGGUCCUCAAAUACCUCCAGAAGGGGGCCAAGGGGCAGACAAAGAAGGACAAACAUCAGGCAGGGAAAACAUUUAAUUUAGCUAAAGGACCAUAUUGACACUAGAGCAAAACAGGAUUGUCUGUCCAUGGGUACAUUUAAUUAGAGGAAAGUUCACAGCCAUUAGAGCAGAAAAAGAAGAAAAAAGCAGAGGUGAGAAAUGAAAAAAGGAAAUCUGUUUUCAGGAUUAAAUGUCAUUUUAAGAAAGGAAGCAUUAAAAGAUGGGAACAGCAGGGGUACGGGGAAGGGCUGGUUGCUGUUAUGCAACUGGAAUCUUUAUUUGCUAUGUUGCAUUUCAACAGGUUUAAUUCCCUUCUCUCCCUUGAGGAAACCGGAUGAGAAGGUUGUCACAAUGGGCAGCUGUGAUUUCCAGUUGUGAAUCCCCUGGCCCCAUGGAAUUGUUUUGCUUGCAAUGCCAACAGCUCUGCUCAUCCAUUUCAUGUCCGUCUUCCAUCGAUCUCUGUAUGGGUGUCACUGCCAUGCCAUGCCCUUGCACAGGGCAGAGAGAAGGAAUAUCCCUGCUCUGGGGAGGCAGGACAGCCUAGGGCAUAAGGCAGGAGAGGAUAGGGAAAUAGGGCAGAGGGCAGAGGACAAAGAAUAAGCCUAUUGUCUUAGCUCUGGACCUGGACCUUCCUCCCAGCUGCACACUGUGAAUCUGAACAAGAAGAAGGCAAAUGGUCUAACCAGGGAGCCACCAUGGCCAUAGAUUAUUUUACAGCUAAAAAAAAGUUUAGUGGGCAAAUUAAUUAAUGGAAAACAUGGUUUGGGAGCACUGCCCACAACCCUCUCUGCUUGCUGGGGCUCAGCACUUCAAACCCCAAGUCUUACCCAUACACCCCUCAAGAGAGGAUGGUGUGGGGUCUGAUGGGGUUUCUCUGAAUUUCACCCUGAUUUUUUUUCUGAUGGGGAGUUUUAUCUCCAUCCUUCAAGUUUCCUUACCAGUAAAAUGACAGUAACAUUGCCAGCCUCAGCUGCAAGGUACCUGGAGCUCCGCUCACUGGGAGAGCUGUAAGACAACUAGCUAUUCUUACAAUAAAUUAGUAUUAUCAGUGUAAGAGAAGAAGCAGUUUCCACAAAAAGCAAUCACCAGCCUAUUGAAGCACUCUGGAAGAUCAAUGAUUUAAUCAAUCUAAUCUUUGCCAAGUAGUAGUCUGGAAAGGUCUGAGCUGCCAGAAACAGUCAGGCCGAUUUAUGUCUUGCCACAGUCCUGGUUUCCCACUGAGCCUGUCAGGUCCUGGCAAAAGGUCCUGUGUCCAGAAGUGUACUUUGAGAUUAGCAUGCUUGCAGAGUAACUCAUUUCCUUCAUAUUAAAUUAAAGCUAAUCUCAUACACAGUGGAAAGACAACAGGCAGGUGAAGCUGGCAUUGCAGCAAAGGGGUCCUUGUGGGGCUUGGAGCAGAAAUGGGGUUGCAGGAACACAGACAUACAAGGGUGUCUCGGCUCAGCUCUGCUGAGCACUGCAAAGUUACAAGGGCUCAGGGUUCAGUGCAAGAAGUAUGGCUGACAGAAAUCAUAGCAUCAUGGAAAGGUUUGGGUUGGAAGGGACUUUAAAGAUCAUCCAGUUCCAACCCCCUGCUGCUAGACCAAGCCCUGUCCAACCUGGCCUUGAACACUGCUAGGGAUGGGGCAGCCACAGCUUCUCUGGGCAGCCUGUGCCAGGGCCUCAUCAGCCUCACGGUAAAGAACUUCUUCCUAAUAUCUAAUCUAAAUCUACCCUCUUUCAGUUUAAAGUAAUUCCCCCUUGUCUUAUCACUACUUGCUCUUAUAAAACACUAUCUUGCUCUUAUAAAACGCUAUCUUGCUCUUAUCUAAUAACAUCUACAUGUCUGCUGGUGACGCCCUGUUGAUGUAAGUUGUUGGCUUCCUUUGCCACAGCAGCACACUGUUCACUCAUUGAGCUCAUGUCCACCAUGACCCCCAGGUCCUUCUCUUUGGAACUACUCCCCAGAAUGGUUGAUCCCUGCCUGUGCUGCACUCCUGGAUUGGGUUUACCCAGCUUCCUAUUUCCUAGCAAUUGCCCUGGAAACUUCCCCAACCCAGUACUCUCAGGAGCAAAAUCCAUGAGAAGAAAAAGCAGCCACAAAGCUUUCAUGACUUGAAACUCAUGGCCCAGCAAUGCCAGAGGAGGAUUUUGGUGUGAGCCAUCCCUGUGCCAACCUGCCUCUCUCCCACACCCUGCACAGCUUGGCCCCGCAGCCCCGGGAUGGGCACAGACCCCCUGGGUAACUCCGCAUCCCACGCCGAGCCUGCGGGCAUCCUUGGGCAGCAUCGCUACCCAUCUUCCUGCAGGUUAUUCACACAAAGGCUGCACAGACGAUUCCUCCUACGCACAGGCUGUGUUGCAAUUGAGCCAGACAAUAGCUGAUGUAAGAGGGGUGAAUAACCUCCCAGAACACUUGGGUGCUUUUCCAAGGAAGGAUGUGAGCAGCCAUGCCUGGAGGGUUGCAAUUAAUUCACAAUUAGGAUAAACUCCAAUUAGGCUGGUGUAGAAGGAAAGUGCUCCAGGUGCCUUGUUCUUCUGCACGGAGCACCUGCAAUUGGUGGAGCAAAUAAAGAAAAAUAAGAAAAAUAAUCCCAAACCUCA